rnacentral:rRNA from 1 species
AUUGAACGCUGGCGGCAUGCCUUACACAUGCAAGUCGAACGGUAACAGGUCUUCGGAUGCUGACGAGUGGCGAACGGGUGAGUAAUGCAUCGGAACGUGCCCAGUCGUGGGGGAUAACUGCUCGAAAGAGCAGCUAAUACCGCAUACGACCUGAGGGUGAAAGCGGGGGACCGUAAGGCCCCGCGCGAUUGGAACGGCCGAUGUCAGAUUAGCUAGUUGGUGGGGUAAAGGCCUACCAAGGCAACGAUCUGUAGUUGGUCUGAGAGGACGACCAGCCACACUGGGACUGAGACACGGCCCAGACUCCUACGGGAGGCAGCAGUGGGGAAUUUUGGACAAUGGGCGCAAGCCUGAUCCAGCAAUGCCGCGUGCAGGAAGAAGGCCUUCGGGUUGUAAACUGCUUUUGUCAGGGAAGAAAUCCCCUGGGUUAAUACCUCGGGGGGAUGACGGUACCUGAAGAAUAAGCACCGGCUAACUACGUGCCAGCAGCCGCCGCGGUAA